GACGACGCUGGCGGCGUGCUUAAUACAUGCAAGUCGAGCGAGGUUAUUGUUUCAAAGUCCUUCGGGGUGGCGAAAUUUUAACCUAGCGGCGGACGGGUGAGUAACGCGUGGGCAACCUGCCCUAAAGCCCGGGAUAACAGUGGGAAACUACUGCUAACACCGGAUGGUCUCAUUUUGUGGCAUCAUAAGAUGAGUAAAGGUUACGCUUUAGGAUGGGCCCGCGUCCCAUUAGCUAGUUGGUGAGGUAACUGCUCACCAAGGCGACGAUGGGUAGCCGGCCUGAGAGGGUGGACGGCCACACUGGGACUGAGACACGGCCCAGACUCCUACGGGAGGCAGCAGUAGGGAAUAUUGCGCAAUGGAGGGAACUCUGACGCAGCGACGCCGCGUGAGCGAUGAAGGUCUUCGGAUCGUAAAGCUCUGUCCUCAGGGAAGAAGGUUAUUAACUUGACGGUACCUGAGGAGGAAGCCCCGGCUAACUACGUG
rnacentral:rRNA from 1 species